CGUGUAGGCGGUCAGGUAAGUCUGGCGUGAAAGCCCGGGGCUUAACCCCGGAAGUGCGCUGGAUACUGCUUGACUAGAGGACGGGAGGGGGAAGCGGAAUUCCUGGUGUAGGGGUGAAAUCCGUAGAUAUCAGGAGGAACACCGGUGGCGAAGGCGGCUUCCUGGCCCGUUACUGACGCUGAGACGCGAAAGCGUGGGGAGCAAACA
rnacentral:rRNA from 1 species